GGCCUUUUCGUUUACUAGAUUGACUUGCACAUGGUUUAAAAUUUCCAUUUCUGAUGCAUGUUGAGCCAUUGGAUAGAAUGCAACUGACACAUAGGCCAGGGUUGCCCAAGAAUGAUGAGGGAGAUGAGUUAAGCAAAUCCAUCAUUGUGUCUGGUAUUGGACCUGUGAAGAGAUUGUUUGAGACAUUUACCAGGACAAAUGUAUUGAUUUUAUCAAGAACUUUUAAAGUUCCUGUCAGAUUGUUGUUAGAUAUAUCAAGUCGCUCUAGCUUGAUCAAAUUCCCCAACCCUGAAGGAAUUGCACCAGUCAAUCCAUUACUGCUGAGAUUCAAGGC
rnacentral:misc_RNA from 1 species